rnacentral:rRNA from 1 species
UACGUAGGGUGCAAGCGUUGUCCGGAAUUAUUGGGCGUAAAGAGCUCGUAGGCGGCUUGUUGCGUCAGCUGUGAAAACCCGCAGCUCAACUGUGGGCUUGCAGCUGAUACGGGCAGGCUUGAGUUCGGUAGGGGAGACUGGAAUUCCUGGUGUAGCGGUGAAAUGCGCAGAUAUCGGGAGGAACACCAGUGGCGAAGGCGGCGACCUGGGCAGAUACUGACACUGAGGUGCGAAAAGCGUGGGGAGCAAACAGG